AACAACAGGGGGAAGAUGGCUCAGAGUUAGGCUGGAGAGGGGCGGUGUCCCUUCCGCCGCAGCCGCGGGGUUUCUGCUACAUCCCAUUCGCCACCUCCGCCAUCCUUUUUUCUGUGUGAGCAGAAGGGCUUGCAGUUGUUCUCUCCUGCCUAGUGUCUUCCAAGGGAUAGAUGCCAUUUCUUCUGCUGGUCUCUGGGGGUGAGGAGGGGCGCAGGGGAGCUUCUUGGGGGAAUCGCUCCAACUCUGUGGAGCUGGUGGUGCUGCCUGGUGGGGCUCUCUCUGCCCAGGACGUGGAACAACUUUCAGCCGGAGGACUAGAGGAAAUAGUUGUAGGGGAGGAAAAAUUGUUUCCUUCUAGCCUUUUAGGUCAUUUGGCUGGUCUACAAAUUAAAUUGAUGUAAGACAGAGGAACAUGAGAAAAACGAUUUGUCGACCGAAAGGUGAAAUAACAGUCUGGAAUUUUGCCGCUUCUUGGUUGACAGAAUCCAAGGGUAUAUUGUCACAGAGAAGACUCCAGCCUGAUGUCUAUGGGACCUGAGUCCACACUGUGGAGGGCACAAGCUGUGGGAGGGCCUGGAAGACACGCCUCAGAGAUUCUCCCAGUCCUGCCACCCUGUGGGAGACACUUCAAAGGAAUCGUAAACUCAUGUGACCAGCAGGGAGGACAACGAUGAAGAAACUUUCCUGCCUAAAAUCAGCUGCUGUCCAGAGCUAGCACCUGGAAGGAGACACUCCCUCUCCUGGGGUCACAUCUUCACUGCAAGGCGGGUGGGAGCUCACUGCUGUGACCCACAUAUACUCCUCUCUCGGCGUCUCUAUCCUGCUGCUUUCUCUGACUGCAUCUUCCUCUGUUCCUUGGUCAGUGUUUGAGAAGAGAAUGUUGAACAAGUCACAUCCUUGUCACUCUGAGUCAGAACCCUCAUUUGACUUGGAAGAUUUGUGCUUCCGUUUUUUCUUCUUUUUCUUUUCUUUCUUCCUUUUCUUAUGCUUUUCUUUCUUCUUCUUUUUCUUGUGUUUCUCUUUACCUUCAGAGGAACUGGAGCUGCUCCUAUCUUCAUCUGAGGUAGAAUCCUCCAGUAACUGUUUUAACUGCUGUAUCCUAAACAUUCAAAAUUGAUCAAAGAACAGUGAGUUUUAGCUUUAACUUACAACAGUUGCUUAGAUAAAUAUGUCAUUCAAAAGCAGUAUAGGAUGAUGAAUAACCAUGUCACAAAGACAGUAUUUUUAUUUUUACCUGUUUUCUCAUUCUUCUCCACCUGAAUGCCUACUUUACGUGACUGAAACCAGUGUACAAGCCACUUUGUAUUCUUUUUAUUGUCCUAGACAUUUCUGCAUGUUUCCACAGUCCUUACAAUUGUAAUUUCUAACAGACGCAUACUUUACUAAACCAUUCCCCUACUGCUCAAUUUCUUAAUCUACAUCUUUAACAGUUAUAAUGCCACCAAUUUGAAAAAACAAACCCUCCAAUUUUUUCCACCUCUCUCUAAUCAUGUCUAAUUUUUUUCUUUUUUUUUUAGAGACAGGGUCUUCCUCUGUCACCUAGGCUGGAGUGCAGUGGUGCAAUCAUGGCUUACUGCAGCCUCAACCUACUGGGGUCAAGUAGAUCCUCCCACCUCAUCCUCCCGAGUGGCUGGAACUACAGGUGCGUGCUGCCAUACUUGGCUACUUUUUAUAUUUUUUUGUAAAGAUGGGGUUUUGCUGUAUGGCCCAGGCUGGUCUCAAACGCCUGGACUUCAGCGAUCCGCUGGCCUCGGCCUCCCAAAGUGUUAGGAUUACAGGUGUGAGCCACUGAGCCUGGCCUAAGUAUAAUUUUUAACAAAAGCUCACAUCCCUAAAGACUCUGGAGAAGAUAAACUGAAUCACAUGAAAAUAUCAAUUAUACUGUACAAGUAGACAGCACAACAUGGGUUGCCAACAUCAACUGCAGUGGCCAGAGAGCUGGACCAAGCCCAUGGCUUUAAGUUAACCCAAGGAGGAGGAGGCUGGCCUGCUCAUUCCCCAACACUGGCCUUUUCAGCCAUGACUCCUGCACUCCACAUAUUUUCACAAUUGAAGUACCAUGUUUACUGCACCAUUCCUCUAACACUAGAGUGGUUUUCUCCAACUUUAUAUAAUUUUAAAACUUUAAGGGGAUAUUGUUAUCAUCAGGACGACCUCACCUUACGUCCUUUUCAUGUCGUUUAUUGUCUCGUAUGAUGUCAUACAUGGGAUCUUCAUGUGCCUUAAGGGUCAGAGAAGGUUAAGGUUUGGUUAGGCUUCAUGGAUCACAAGUUAAAUACAAUGAAAUGCCUAUGUUAUGAAAAC
rnacentral:lncRNA from 1 species